GAUGAACGCUGGCGGCGUGCCUAAUACAUGCAAGUCGAGCGAACAGACGAGGAGUUUGCUCCUCUGACGUUAGCGGCGGACGGGUGAGAAACACGUGGAUAACCUACCUAUAAGACUGGGAUAACUUCGGGACACCGGAUAUAAUACGGGAUAAUAUAUUACACCGCAUGGUUCAAUAGUGAAAUACGGUUUUGCUGUAACUUAUAGAUGGAUCCGCGCCGCAUUAGCUAGUUGGUAAGGUAACGGUUUACCAAGGCAACGAUGCGAAGCCAACCUGAGAGGGUGAUGGCCACCACUGGACCGGGAACCCGGCCCGGACUCCUACGGGAGGCAGAGUAAGGAAUUCUUCGCCAAUGGGCGAAAGCCUGACGGGCAAACGCGGCGUAAGUAAUGAAGGUCUCCGGACCUAAAGACUUGUUUAUUAGGGAAGAAAAAAUGUGUAAAAAACGAUGCACGUCUUGACGGUACCUAAUCAGAAAGCCACGGCUAACUACGUG
rnacentral:rRNA from 1 species